AGCGAACGCUGGCGGCAGGCCUAACACAUGCAAGUCGAGCGGGCACCUCGGGAUGUCUGGGGCAGACGGGUGUGAAGCGCGGGGGAACGCACCUAUGGGUGGGGAACCACUCCGGGAGAGGGGAGCUAAUAGGGGAAAGGCCUCGGAGGAGAGAGUUUUACUGCUGGAGGAUGGGCGCGCGGCUGAUGCUAGAGUUGGUGGGGUAAGCGCCUACCAAGGAGACGAUCUGUAGCGGGUCUGAGAGGAUGAUCAGCCACACUGGGACUGAGACACGGCCCAGACUCCUACGGGAGGCAGCAGUGGGGAAUAUUGGACAAUGGGCGCAAGCCUGAUCCAGCCAUGCCGCGUGAGUGAUGAAGGCCUUAGGGUUGUAAAGCUCUUUUGUCCGGGACGAUAAUGACGGUACCGGAAGAAUAAGCCCCGGCUAACUUCGUG
rnacentral:rRNA from 1 species